AGUAAAAGUCGUAACAAGGUCUCCGUUGGUGAACCAGCGGAGGGAUCAUUACUGAGUUUACGCUCUACAACCCUUUGUGAACAUACCUACAACUGUUGCUUCGGCGGGUAGGGUCUCCGCGACCCUCCCGGCCUCCCGCCUCCGGGCGGGUCGGCGCCCGCCGGAGGAUAACCAAACUCUGAUUUAACGACGUUUCUUCUGAGUGGUACAAGCAAAUAAUCAAAACUUUUAACAACGGAUCUCUUGGUUCUGGCAUCGAUGAAGAACGCAGCGAAAUGCGAUAAGUAAUGUGAAUUGCAGAAUUCAGUGAAUCAUCGAAUCUUUGAACGCACAUUGCGCCCGCCAGCAUUCUGGCGGGCAUGCCUGUUCGAGCGUCAUUUCAACCCUCAAGCUCUGCUUGGUGUUGGGGCCCUACAGCCGAUGUAGGCCCUCAAAGGUAGUGGCGGACCCUCCCGGAGCCUCCUUUGCGUAGUAACUUUACGUCUCGCACUGGGAUCCGGAGGGACUCUUGCCGUAAAACCCCCCAAUUUUCCAAAGGUUGACCUCGGAUCAGGUAGGAAUACCCGCUGAACUUAAGCAUA
rnacentral:rRNA from 1 species